UAAGGAAUAUUGGACAAUGGAGGCAACUCUGAUCCAGCCAUGCCGCGUGAAGGAAUAAGGCCCUAUGGGUUGUAAACUUCUUUUAGACGGGACAAAACCCCUUUACGUGUAAAGGGUUGAUGGUACUGUCAGAAUAAGCAUCGGCUAACUUCGUGCCAGCAGCCGCGGUAAUACGAAGGAUGCAAGCGUUAUCCGGAAUUAUUGGGUUUAAAGGGUGCGUAGGCGGACUAAUAAGUCAGUGGUGAAAGCCUGCAGCUUAACUGCAGAAUUGCCAUUGAUACUGUUAGUCUUGAGUACAGUUGAGGUAGGCGGAAUGUGUCAUGUAGCGGUGAAAUGCUUAGAUAUGACACAGAACACCGAUUGUGAAGGCAGCUUGCUAAGCUGUAACUGACGCUGAGGCACGAAAGCGUGGGGAGCAAACA
rnacentral:rRNA from 1 species